rnacentral:rRNA from 1 species
UACGUAGGGAGCAAGCGUUAUCCGGAUUUACUGGGUGUAAAGGGCGAGUAGGCGGGCCGACAAGUUGGGAGUGAAAUCCGGGGGCUUAACCCCCGAACUGCUUUCAAAACUGUUGGUCUUGAGUGAUGGAGAGGCAGGCGGAAUUCCCAGUGUAGCGGUGAAAUGCGUAGAUAUUGGGAGGAACACCAGUGGCGAAGGCGGCCUGCUGGACAUUAACUGACGCUGAGGCGCGAAAGCGUGGGGAGCAAACAGGAUUAGAUACC